CUAUGACUAUGCGACAAUUACCAUGACCUUCGGCUCCUAAUCUUGGGUCGGGGGCAUAACAACUAAAAUAGUAUCAGAGCAUAAGUGGAUAAAUUAUGAAACAUAGAAUCAGAUAUAGAAUGAGUGCAAGUGGAUAGACACUAGGAUCAUUAUGGUGUAGACCUAUGAUGAUGUAUUAUGAAAAAUUUUUAUGAUUUUUGGUUAAACAUUGAGAUUAUGUAUGAAAGGAUCGCAGGAGAUUAUGACAUGUAGAGUUUGAAAUAAGAUGGAUGAUCUAUGGAUCAUGAUAUGAUUAGUUA
rnacentral:lncRNA from 1 species